rnacentral:rRNA from 1 species
UGGGGAAUAUUGGGCAAUGGGGGAAACCCUGACCCAGCAACGCCGCGUGAGUGAAGAAGGUUUUCGGAUUGUAAAACUCUGUCCCAUGUGAAGAAACAAAUGACGGUAGCAUGGGAGGAAGCCCCGGCUAACUACGUGCCAGCAGCCGCGGUAAUACGUAGGGGGCAAGCGUUGUCCGGAAUAACUGGGCGUAAAGGGUGCGUAGGCGGAUCGAUAAGUCGGUUGUGAAAGACCCAGGCUUAACUUGGGAAGUGCAGCCGAAACUGUCAAUCUGGAGUGCAAGAGAGGGAAGCGGAAUUCCCAGUGUAGCGGUGAAAUGCGUAGAUAUUGGGAAGAACACCAGUGGCGAAGGCGGCUUUCUGGCUUGUAACUGACGCUGAGGCACGAAAGCGUGGGGAGCGAACA